AUUGAACGCUGGCGGCAGGCCUAACACAUGCAAGUCGAACGAGUGGCGGACGGGUGAGUAAUGUCUGGAAAACUGCCUGAUGGAGGGGGAUAACUACUGGAAACGGUAGCUAAUACCGCAUACCAUCGGAUGUGCCCAGAUGGGUUUAGCUAGUAGGUGGGGUAAAGGCGCACCUAGGCGACGAUCCCUAGCUGGUCUGAGAGGAUGACCAGCCAAACUGGGACUGAGACACGGCCCAGAAUCCUACGGGAGGCAGGAGGGGGGAAUAUUGCACAAUGGGCGCAAGCCUGAUGCAGCCAUGCCGGGGGUAUGAAAAAGGCCUUCGGGUUGUAAAGUACUUUCAGCCGGGAGGCGUUACCCGCAGAAGAAGCACCGGCUAACUCCGUGCCAGCAGCCGCGGUAAUUC
rnacentral:rRNA from 1 species